UAGUGGCCAGAUCGAAGCUGAGAUAAAGUGUUGUUUAGCUCAGUCAAAACUCGGCCUAAAGCAAAGAUUAACCUUAGGUCACUUGAAGACUUGUGUCUUACAAGUAUUACCCUAGGUUAAUACAUUU